AGUGGGAUAACUGGGUCAAAUGGUGGUUCUAUUCCAAGUUUUCUGAGGAACCUUCAAACUGCUUUCCAGAGUGGUUGCACCAAUUUGCAGUCCCUCCAGCAAU
rnacentral:pre_miRNA from 1 species